UAGGAUGCAAGCGUUGUCCGGAUUUACUGGGCGUAAAGCGCGCGCAGGCGGCAGUGUAAGUAAGGUGUGAAAUCUCCCUGCUCAACGGGGAGGGUGCACUUUAGACUACACAGCUAGAGGUCGGUAGAGGGGGGUGGAAUUGCUGGUGUAGCGGUGAAAUGCGUAGAGAUCAGCAGGAACACCCGUGGCGAAGGCGGCCCCCUGGGCCGUACCUGACGCUGAGGCGCGAAGGCUAGGGGAGCGAACGGG
rnacentral:rRNA from 1 species